rnacentral:rRNA from 1 species
AUGGCUCAGCAAGCGGAUGGCAUUUAUGAUGUGCCAGACGGGCCUCCUUUGAUGACUAUCAACUUGAAGCUGAGCAGCGAAAAUUCCUUUUCAGAAAUGCACCGCUCCUACGCAAGCCAGAUGGAGCGCCUACGGAAACGUCUCAAAAGGAAGUUUAAGACCCUCGUGAAGGGCAAGAGGAAGUUUCAUCUCACCCCAGAUGAGUUAGCUGUUUUCACGGUUGCAUUUACUGAUGGUGAAAGGACUGUCAGGGCGAUCAUUGAAGGAAGGCAUAUGUGGGUGAGAGGAUUCGAAACUACAGAUGGACAGGUGUAUGAGUUCAAGGAGAAGAAGCAGGGACAUGAAACAAAGAAGUAUAUCAAAGGGUCAAUUUUACUUUCCCAUGGAGGAGGGUAUCCCACACUACUACGUGAAGGCCCUCCACUUGAAAACUUCGAAGUGGGCUAUCCUGCUCUAAAAGAUAUGCUUGAUCAGCUAUCUCAUUUUGAUCCAACCAAGUCUUCUGUCCAGUCUCUGCGUGCAAUGGCGGCACUGAUAAUACACACUGCUGAGAGCAUAAAGAACAACUUCAUCUGCUUAAUUGUUCUGAAAUCGCUCGAUCCAAAGCUGGGUGCAAGGAAGCAAGAGUUGACAGAUCUGGGAAAUGGAUACAUCCGUAGCUGGGCAAAGAUAUCAAAGCUAAUCCUGAGAUAUCUUCACAUUUCAACCAAGGUUUGGGAUGUAAAUGAACAGAAAAAGGUAAAAAAUGAAGAGUUCUAUAAAGUUCCAUGCUGGACAAAUGAUCCCAAGGAUGUGCUCAAUCAUAUCAUAUUCAUAAAAAGUGAUGAAUAUCUGGAUAAUGUUCUGCAUGUACAAGAUGGCCAAACACGAACCCUACCAGAUGUGCUUCAAGCUUCUAUAGGUGUGGUUGUUGUGGGAGGGGUGAACCUUGCCUUAAAUUAUGCAACAGAUAUUCCCCGUGUUGCUCAAGUGCUACUGCGAGCAACUUCAUUGUCCUCAAAUGUCCAGGUCAUCGAAGGAGAGUUUCCCAUCUACACAGACGGACACAUAGACUUGUGUACAAUGCAUCUGAAUUUGAAGAAAAAGGAAGGACAUCAAGAGGAAGUGGUUAAGUUAACACUAACAGUGAGUGCUUUGCGACAGGCGACUGCAGAUGCAAACCAAGUCCAUGAUGAGGGUGUGUACUGUAAAAUGACUAAAGGAUGUGUUAAGGACAGUAAGAUGAGCACCGCACAACUGGAGCUAUAUUCAGAAAACAGAGAAUUAUUCGAUAAACUUGUAGACGAAAGAGUUGCAGAAUCUGAAGCAGAGUACCCAACGAUGGAUCCAAUGCUGCUGCUAUGCAGUAAGAAAGAGUCACCACUAAACUUACAAGACAUUGGUGUUGGGCUGGUGUGCUGA